rnacentral:rRNA from 1 species
GAACGGGUGAGUAACACGUGGGUGAUCUGCCCUGCACUUUGGGAUAAGCCUGGGAAACUGGGUCUAAUACCGAAUAGGACCACGCGCUUCAUGGUGUGUGGUGGAAAGCUUUUGCGGUGUGGGAUGGGCCCGCGGCCUAUCAGCUUGUUGGUGGGGUAAUGGCCUACCAAGGCGACGACGGGUAGCCGGCCUGAGAGGGUGACCGGCCACACUGGGACUGAGAUACGGCCCAGACUCCUACGGGAGGCAGCAGUGGGGAAUAUUGCACAAUGGGCGCAAGCCUGAUGCAGCGACGCCGCGUGAGGGAUGACGGCCUUCGGGUUGUAAACCUCUUUCAAUAGGGACGAAGCGCAAGUGACGGUACCUAUAGAAGAAGCACCGGCCAACUACAUGCCAGCAGCCGCGGUAAUACGUAGGGUGCGAGCGUUGUCCGGAAUUACUGGGCGUAAAGAGCUCGUAGGUGGUUUGUCGCGUUGUUCGUGAAAACUCACAGCUUAACUGUGGGCGUGCGGGCGAUACGGGCAGACUAGAGUACUGCAGGGGAGACUGGAAUUCCUGGUGUAGCGGUGGAAUGCGCAGAUAUCAGGAGGAACACCGGUGGCGAAGGCGGGUCUCUGGGCAGUAACUGACGCUGAGGAGCGAAAGCGUGGGGAGCGAACAGGAUUAGAUACCCUGGUAGUCCACGCCGUAAACGGUGGGUACUAGGUGUGGGUUCCUUCCUUGGGAUCCGUGCCGUAGCUAACGCAUNNNGUACCCCGCC